rnacentral:rRNA from 1 species
UGGGGAAUAUUGCGCAAUGGGGGAAACCCUGACGCAGCAACGCCGCGUGCAGGAAGAAGGUCUUCGGAUUGUAAACUGUUGUCGCAGGGGAAGAAGACAGUGACGGUACCCUGUGAGAAAGUCACGGCUAACUACGUGCCAGCAGCCGCGGUAAUACGUAGGUGACAAGCGUUGUCCGGAUUUACUGGGUGUAAAGGGCGCGUAGGCGGAUGUGCAAGUCAGUCGUGAAAUACCGGGGCUCAACCCCGGGGCUGCGAUUGAAACUGCACACCUUGAGUAUCGGAGAGGAAAGCGGAAUUCCUAGUGUAGCGGUGAAAUGCGUAGAUAUUAGGAGGAACACCAGUGGCGAAGGCGGCUUUCUGGACGACAACUGACGCUGAGGCGCGAAAGUGUGGGGAGCAAACAGG